AGUACCCGACCAUGGGACCCACUUAAUGAUAUGAUACAGUUUGAAAAAGAUGGUGUUAUUCAGACCAAAGUGAAACAUCGUACUCCAAUGGUUAGCGUCCCCAAAAUGAAACAUAAGCCAACCAGGCAACAGAAGAAAGUAGCAAAAGGCUAUUCCUCCCCAGAACCUGACAUUCAAGACUCCUCUGGAAGUGAAGCUCAAUCAGUAAAACCAAGUACAAGAAGAAAGAAAGGAAUAGAACUGGGAGACAUUCAGAGUUCCAUCGAAUCUAUAAAACAAACACAGGAAGAAAUUAAAAGAAAUAUUAUGGCUCUUCGAAAUCAUUUAGUUUCAAGCACACCGGCCACGGAUUAUUUUCUGCAACAAAAAGACUACUUCAUCAUUUUCCUCCUGAUUUUGCUUCAAGUCAUAAUAAACUUCAUGUUCAAGUAAAAGUUCUCUACCAUUGAAUCAGUGAACUAGAAAGAUCUGAUUUGGCCUGGGACCAGUGUUCAAGUUGGUUUGGUCUUUAUUAAAAAUCACAAUAUUCCAAAAACAAAAAAACCUAGGAGAUAAAUGUAGAGGUAUUGACUUUUCGUAUCUUUUAUCUUCACACUGAAACAAGAGCUAUCCUAUUUGAUUAUUAAAGUGAGCUAUGUGUUAAGUGCCAGGACAUUUCUAGCUUUUGUGAGAAUGUGUCUACAUAUGAGUAUAAUAAACCCACAUGUAUACACAAUUGUCUCUUAUGUACUCCUACCUGACAGUAGUCUUUGUAUUCUAUAGUAUGUUCUGAGAUAUAAUGUUAACAUUGUUCAUAACAAAAAAUGCUAUCAAUCUUAUAAAUAUAUGUAAUCUAUUUUCUUCAUAAAACAGGCAGAAAAGUUUUAUCAGUAAGGAAUUACAGAUUGAGAAAUGAUGGAAUAAUAGACAUAAUUA
rnacentral:lncRNA from 1 species